GUGGAAGGGCCGUGGCUUAUCGGAUAAAAGCUACCCCGGGGAUAACAGGCUUAUCUCGCCCAAGAGUUCACAUCGACGGCGAGGUUUGGCACCUCGAUGUCGGCUCGUCCCAUCCUGGGGCUGAAGGCGGUCCCAAGGGUCCGGCUGUUCGCCGGUUAAAGGGGUACGUGAGUUGGGUUCAGAACGUCGUGAGACAGUUCGGUCUCUAUCCGCCGUGGGCGCAGGAGGCUUGAGGGAACCUUUCCCUAGUACGAGAGGACCGGGAAGGACAAACCUAUGGUGUUCCAGUUGUUCCGCCAGGAGCAGCGCUGGGUAGCCAUGUUUGGCAGCGAUAAGCGCUGAAGGCAUCUAAGCGCGAAGCAUCCCCCAAGAUUAGGCCUCCCUCCCCGAUUCAGUUCGGGGGUAAGACUGCAGCGAGACUAGCUGCUUGAUAGGCCGGAUGUGUAAGGCUGGUAACAGCUUCAGCAAACCGGUACUAACCAGUCGAGCGAUUUGACCC
rnacentral:rRNA from 1 species